rnacentral:rRNA from 1 species
GACAGAGGUCCCGAGCGUUAGGCGGAAUCACUGGGCUUAAAGCGUGUGUAGGCGGAUUUGUAAGUACCUUGUGAAAUCCCACGGCUUAACCGUGGAACUGCUUGGUAUACUGCUUAUCUUGGGCCAUCUAGGGGCGAGCGGAACAAACGGUGGAGCGGUGAAAUGCGUAGAUAUCGUUUGGAACGCCAAUGGUGAAAACAGCUCGCUGGGAUGUGCCGACGCUGAGACACGAAGCCAGGGAGCGAACGGG